CACCAGCUCAGUCAUCUCCCUUGAUGUUUUAAUGCCUGCCCACUUUCUCUCUCUCUCUCUCGGAACUACCUUUUAGGCAGAAAGUUAAAAUUAUACACCCAAGGAGUCAUACCUGGCUCAUUUUUCCUCAACCUCUACUGGGCUUCACGUUUUCAAUAUCUGUCCCUCAUCCACCAUAAAGUGAAACAUAUAGCUUCGCACUUCUUAUACAUGGUUCAUAUAAUCUGCUUUUGUAUGGUGAACAAGUCUCUGCACUCCUUUCACCUCUUUAUUACUCUAGCUAUAUGUUCACUUCAUGUAUUUCUUGCCCUUAUUUGAUCACUGAGGUAAUACAAAAAGAAAACUAUCAACAAUGUCAAGCAAUCCAUCUGAGUCAAAUUUAUAGACAUCAUUUCAUGUAAGCAGUUACCGAUUACCUUCUCCUGCUCAUUUAAUCAUCAACAUCCUCGUCUUGACAUCUACUUUUCCAUACUGGCAUAAGUCAGAUGGAAUUUGUUGAGGCUGAUUUUGCUAUGGCCAGAUGCCUUUCACUUAUUUACAGGGAAAGUAAUAGUUCCUCAUGACCCAGUAUGUUUUCAUGGAAGAUUGGAAAUGGACACCACUCGCAUAACAGUGAAGCUUGUUUACAACUAUCGUGAUAUCAAGUCAAGGUGACAGUAAUAUACACCUGCAUACAUAUUUCAGUUUCUAUCUACCAAAUACACUCACAAGGUUUAGUUGGCCUGGGGCUCUGGUUGAAGUCAGUUGUCCAAGGUGCCAUGUAGUGGGAGUGAACCUGAAACCAUGUGGUUAGAAAGCAAAGUUUUUACCAUGCAGCCACACCUGCAUCUACACCCAUGCCUGUGCCUACACUAUAUAGCUAAAAACUUGGAUCUCACUCACUCUAACAGAGAUUCCUCUGCUCCUUUUCAAUACAUAUUGUUUGCACUAAAUACUCAACAUUGAGUCUCCUACCCUCUACUUACUUACUUGUCAGCUUUAUCUCAUAUCCAAGAAUUUAGUUUCUUCUUUGCUGAAAACUAUGGUGAUGGUGUUGAUGACUCUGUAAACCAUUUCUUGCAUUGAAGAGUCAAUGACAUUGACUGCAUGGGUGUAGGGUGUGGUUGAUUUUGUUGAGCCUUUCUCUCCUAUCAUUUGAUUUCUUCCAAGCCCGAAACUGUACCAAAUGGGGUAUCCUAUCAUGUCCCUGCUACAUCUACCCAGACCUCUCUUGGAUUUUGAGUUCCUGUUCAAAACCAGUAUUUUAUAGUCUUUGUACUGUUGAUUUUUAUGGUGAGUUCAGUAUUAUAUUGCUUCAUUGCUUCACCUGCCUUUAUAAAUUCUUCACUAACAUUCUUCCUCUCUUCACAAGGUAUACAUUUCCUCCAGAUUUCUCUGGUACCAAUAUAUUUCAGGUUUUGACAGGUACAGAGUCAGUUUCAGUGUAUGCAGACUUUGUGUAGGAGAUGCCAUGUCUCUAUUUGACUCUGCUUCCAUUUACCUUACUUUGGCAACGAAGCUUUAAUACUGCAUGUCCAUUUACUAUUCUUGUUAAUCUAUACCUCAGUGAAGGUGACAAGCUUAUAGAAUUGUUAGCACACGAGGUGAAAAGCUUAGUGGCAUUUUGUCUGUCUUUAUGUUCUGAGUUUAAAUUCUGCCAAAGUCAGCUUCGACUUUCAUCCUUUCAGGCUUGAGAAAAUAAGUACCAGAUGAGUCCUGAGGUUGAUGUAAUCAACUUAACCCCUCCCCUGAAAUUACUGGCCUUGUGCCAAAAUUUGAAAUCAAUAUAUAUUUCAAUGUUAGAGUUGUGAUAUGUCUGUGUGGAACUCAAAAUUAACCUGUGGCAGUAAAAGCAGAAACAAUUCAGUUUAUGCACACAUUUGAUGGUUCACUCACCAUUGCUAUGCUGGAGAUAACCUAAUAUGUACAAUAAUCCAUUAUAUUUUUAAUUAAUUAGAUGCACAUUCUAAUUAUUGCACAUGUGUUUACAUAACUAAUUGAAGAGGAUUACUUAAACAUUUGUGGAAUAAUUAGUUUGUGUAAAAUAAUUCUACCCAAAAAGCAGAAGCUACAGGUAUAAAUGUGACAUAAUAUGGGAACAUUAGGCUGAUUAAUCUCUUUUAUGAUCAUAUUUUUAAUGUACUCCAAAUGAUUUUGAAAUAAAAAACCAAACAUCUUUAAAAAGCAAGGCCAGAUUUAGUUCAAUAACUAACUUUGCCAUUUUUAUGACAUAAAAAUUAAAAGGCAAAAUUAUAUUUUAAAUACAAACAUUUAUAAUCAGGCAGUUUCAUAUGAAACCAGAGGUGGUCUCUUGUAGGUUUGCAUCAGAAAUGUAACUGAUAUGUCCAGAAGCAUUUUUGCUAAAGAGCACUAAAAUCCUUGAUGAAGAACAGUAUGUCAAAACUACUCUGACAUAUACGCAUAAGCAUAGAUAGACUUUAAGCAUUUCUCCAUUCACAUGACAUAUCCAUUCCAGCACAACUGCUCUUGUUUCUUUGCAUGUAGGAGCUAAUGUCUUUAAUGAUGACCAGUUUGUAGUUUGUCUUGUGUGCUCUCAAUUUUUCUAUUACUGCCUUUAAUAUUGAAACUCCAUAUCUUAUAUACUAUGUAUCAUCAUACUCUUUACACAUGUUUUGGAUGAUCUACUCUUUACAAAGGGUAAGGAAGGAGUAUCCUUAGAUGUUAACAGAGGUAAGAAAUCUUAACUUCUAUUUUAGUCAAGCUAUUAUAUUUUCACAACAAACUCUAAUAACUUAGAUAUUUUAACUAGAUAACAAACUAUAGCUACCUAAGUAACUAAGAGUGAGCCUCUAUAUGUUCUGUCUACCUGCUAGAGAUAGCAGUCAAAUUUUCCUUAAAUCACUCACUAUCAGUUUAGUAAAGGCAGGAUGUAUUGGAUAAUGACUAAAAAUAUUAGACAAACUGGUAACAGCUAAACAUCUUUGAUCAUAGGCAUGAUCAAAAAGGAUUGAUCUGGGACUAAACAAUAACAACAAUUUCAAAGGAAAUUGUUUAGUUGUCUAUGAACUUGUUGUAUAACCCCAGGUUGUCCCAGAUCAAACAGAGCUACAAUCAAAAUUACUUUUAUAAUGAUCAUCCAUCCUAUCUAGUAAAAUGUAGUUUCAGAGUGUGUUGGUUGCUAUUUCUAACAGGUCAUAAUACCAUAAAGCAACUCCAUUGAUUUGUUGUUCAUAUUUUUUAUUUCAUGAUUGCUUUGAUAAGAAAAAUUGUUGCUUUCAAGUUAAAAUUUAAUGAUGAGCAUAGCAAAGUCUAAAGUUCUGAUUAGUAACAGAAAAUACCAAAACCACUAACAUUUUGAUGUCUUUAUUCAUUAAGCUUUUUCUUAGUUUAUCAUCUGACCAUCUGCCAUUGUAUCUGUCUUUUCUAACCUAAUAAGAUCUAGUACAAGGCUAAUACCAUGAUGAACCUAACCUGUAAACAAAAAAACCUAUUUCAAAGUAUUUCACUGUGUUAAAUGCUAGCAGUGAAGGUUUACUAGGUACAUAUGAACAUGCAAUAUAUAUAAGCAACAAAGGGAUUUUCUUGUAUGAUUAUUGUUGUGUAAAGGAGGAGAAUAGUGGAUUGUGAGAGCUGGGGAAAUGCCUAGGCAGUAUUUAGUUAUGUCCCUUUAUAUCCUGAAGUCAAAAAAUCACUUUACUUUUCAUCCGUCUGUGAUGGAGGUUGGAUGAUAAGAUAAAGUGGUAGUAAAGUACUAGGUUCAAUUUGUCACCUACUACCCUUUCUUACAAAAAUGUUUGGCCUUGCACCAGUUGAUAUAAAUCAAUAUUAUAAGAUAAAUAGUAUGAAUGGGAGAUUUAUUUGUGUUUAUUAAGAGAUAAAUAGCAAUAGCUUAGAUUUAGUUGUCGCUUAUAUUUUUAUUUCACUAAUAUAUUUUUAAUUGAUGGAGAUGGGUUGACAGAAAAUAGAACAGCCAUGAACAAAAUGUUCUUUGAUAUUUAAUUAUAUCUAUCUACGUUUUGAGUUCACAUUCUACCAGGAUCAACUUUGCCUUCUAUUCUUCUGAGGUCAAUAAAAUACCAGUCAAGCACUGGAGUCAAUAUAACCUACUGAGACCUUGUGGUGCCUAUGCUAGAAAUCAAUAUUAUAUUUGUAAUAAAGAAUUUUGAUUUUAAUUUUCACUAUAUAAUUAAACUCUGCAGAUUAAUUGUGUUUUCAUUUAUUUUCAUUAUAAAUUAGGAAUUAUCAAUUCUGAAAUUUUUUUCCGACUGAAAAGCAAUGAUUUUACUUUAAUGAUUUACAGAUGAUGUUAAAGCAAAGAAAUGUACAAUGAAAUGACUCAUUUGUCUUGCACACUUAACCAUGGCUUUGAAAGUAAAUGAUUUUGAAUUUAUAA